rnacentral:rRNA from 1 species
GUACACUCCUGCGGGAGGCAGCAGUGGGGAAUAUUGGACAAUGGGCGCAAGCCUGAUCCAGCCAUGCCGCGUGAGUGAUGAAGGCCCUAGGGUUGUAAAGCUCUUUCACCGGAGAAGAUAAUGACGGUAUCCGGAGAAGAAGCCCCGGCUAACUUCGUGCCAGCAGCCGCGGUAAUACGAAGGGGGCUAGCGUUGUUCGGAAUUACUGGGCGUAAAGCGCACGUAGGCGGAUCGAUCAGUCAGGGGUGAAAUCCCAGGGCUCAACCCUGGAACUGCCUUUGAUACUGUCGAUCUGGAGUAUGGAAGAGGUGAGUGGAAUUCCGAGUGUAGAGGUGAAAUUCGUAGAUAUUCGGAGGAACACCAGUGGCGAAGGCGGCUCACUGGUCCAUUACUGACGCUGAGGUGCGAAAGCGUGGGGAGCAAACAGGAUUAGAAACCCUUGUAGUCCCAUGAU